rnacentral:sRNA from 1 species
CACGGGUCGAGAGUUGGCGUCGCUCUUCUGAUGAGUCUAAGCAAGACGAAGCCAGUG